rnacentral:rRNA from 1 species
CCUACGGGAGGCAGCAGUGAGGAAUAUUGGUCAAUGGGCGCGAGCCUGAACCAGCCAAGUCGCGUGAGGGAAGACGGUCCUAUGGAUUGUAAACCUCUUUUGUCGGGGAGCAAAAGACGCCACGCGUGGCCUUCCGAGCGUACCCGAAGAAAAAGCAUCGGCUAACUCCGUGCCAGCAGCCGCGGUAAUACGGAGGAUGCGAGAGUUAUCCGGAUUUAUUGGGUUUAAAGGGUGCGCAGGCGGAAGAUCAAGUCAGCGGUAAAAGUGAGAGGCUCAACCUCUUCGAGCCGUUGAAACUGGUUGUCUUGAGUGAGCGAGAAGUAUGCGGAAUGCGUGGUGUAGCGGUGAAAUGCAUAGAUAUCACGCAGAACUCCGAUUGCGAAGGCAGCAUACCGGAGCGCAACUGACGCUCAUGCACGAAAGUGUGGGUAUCGAACAGGAUUAGAUACCCGAGUAGUC